AGCACAGAGAGCUUGCUCUUGGGUGACGAGUGGCGGACGGGUGAGUAAUGUCUGGGAAACUGCCCGAUAGAGGGGGAUAACUACUGGAAACGGUAGCUAAUACCGCAUAACCUCGUAAGAGCAAAGUGGGGGACCUUCGGGCCUCACGCUAUCGGAUGUGCCCAGAUGGGAUUAGCUAGUAGGUGGGGUAAUGGCUCACCUAGGCGACGAUCCCUAGCUGGUCUGAGAGGAUGACCAGCCACACUGGAACUGAGACACGGUCCAGACUCCUACGGGAGGCAGCAGUGGGGAAUAUUGCACAAUGGGCGCAAGCCUGAUGCAGCCAUGCCGCGUGUAUGAAGAAGGCCUUCGGGUUGUAAAGUACUUUCAGCGGGGAGGAAGGCGAUGAGGUUAAUAACCUCGGCGAUUGACGUUACCCGCAGAAGAAGCACCGGCUAACUCCGUGCCAGCCGCCGCGGUAAUACGUCGUGACU
rnacentral:rRNA from 1 species